AUUAACGCUAGCGGCAGGCAUAAUACAUGCAAGUUGAACGGCAGCACAGGUAGCAAUACUGGGUGGCGAGUGGCGCACGGGUGCGUAACACGUAUGCAACCUACCCUAUACAGGCGAAUAACCUUUAGAAAUGAGGGCUAAUACGCCGUAGUAUUACAGAUGGGCAUCUAUUUGUAAUUAAAGAUUUAUCGGUAUAGGGUGGGCAUGCGUCCCAUUAGUUAGUUGGUAAGGUAACGGCUUACCAAGACGAUGAUGGGUAGGGG
rnacentral:rRNA from 1 species